rnacentral:rRNA from 1 species
GACAGAGGCCCCAAGCGUUAGGCGGAAUCACUGGGCUUAAAGCGUGUGUAGGCGGCUCGUUAAGUGUCUUGUGAAAUCCCACGGCUCACCCGUGGAACUGCUGGGCAUACUGGCGAUCUUGGGCCAACUAGGGGCAGCCGGAACAAGCGGUGGAGCGGUGAAAUGCGUAGAUAUCGCGUGGAACGCCGAAGGUGAAAACAGACUGCUGGGAGUGUGCUGACGCUGAGACACGAAAGCCAGGGGAGCAAACGGG